GACGAACGCUGGCGGCGUGCUUAACACAUGCAAGUCGAACGGAAAGGCCCUGCUUUUGUGGGGUGCUCGGGUGGCGAACGGGUGAGUAACACGGGAGUAACCUGCCCUUGACUUUGGGAUAACUUCAGGAAACUGGGGCUAAUACCGGAUAGGAGCUCCUGCUGCAUGGUGGGGGGUGGAAAGUUUCGGCGGUUGGGGAUGGACUCGCGGCUUAUCAGCUUGUUGGUGGGGUAGUGGCUUACCAAGGCUUUGACGGGUAGCCGGCCUGAGAGGGUGACCGGCCACAUUGGGACUGAGAUACGGCCCAGACUCCUACGGGAGGCAGCAGUGGGGAAUAUUGCACAAUGGGCGGAAGCCUGAUGCAGCAACGCCGCGUGCGGGAUGACGGCCUUCGGGUUGUAAACCGCUUUCGCCUGUGACGAAGCGUGAGUGACGGUAAUGGGUAAAGAAGCACCGGCUAACUACGUG
rnacentral:rRNA from 1 species